rnacentral:rRNA from 1 species
GACGGGGGGGGCAAGUGUUCUUCGGAAUGACUGGGCGUAAAGGGCACGUAGGCGGUGAAUCGGGUUGAAAGUGAAAGUCGCCAAAAAGUGGCGGAAUGCUCUCGAAACCAAUUCACUUGAGUGAGACAGAGGAGAGUGGAAUUCGUGUGUGAGGGGUGAAAUCCGUAAAUAUACGAAGGAACGCCAAAAGCGAAGGCAGCUCUCUGGGUCCCUACCGACGCUGGGUGCGAAAGCAUGGGGAGCGAACAGG